rnacentral:sRNA from 1 species
AAUCAGUGAUGAAAUUG